AUUGAACGCUGGCGGCAGGCCUAACACAUGCAAGUCGAGCGGAUGAAGGGAGCUUGCUCCUGGAUUCAGCGGCGGACGGGUGAGUAAUGCCUAGGAAUCUGCCUGGUAGUGGGGGAUAACGUCCGGAGACGGGCGCUAAUACCGCAUACGUCCUGAUGGAGAAAGUGGGGGAGCUUCGGACCUCACGGUAUCAGAUGAGCCUAGGGCGGAUUAGCGAGUUGGUGGGGUAAAGGCCUACCAAGGCGACGAUGCGUAACUGGUCUGAGAGGAUGAUCAGUCACACUGGAAAUGAGACACGGUCCAGACUCCUACGGGAGGCAGCAGUGGGGAAUAUUGGACAAUGGGCGAAAGCCUGAUCCAGCCAUGCCGCGUGUGUGAAGAAGGUCUUCGGAUUGUAAAGCUCUUUAAGGUGGGAGGAAGGGCAGUAAGUUAAUACCUGGCUGUUUUGACGUUACCAAAAGAAUAAGCACCGGCUAACUUCGUG
rnacentral:rRNA from 1 species